rnacentral:ncRNA from 1 species
UUAAAACUUUGUCAUGAUUGAACUAUAGCGUAAGCCAAACCUAGCAUGGUAAUAAUAGUGAACCUACUAUCUAACUAUUAAAAAUCUAAGGACUAACCCAGCGGGAAACAUUAAACAAUAUUAGAAAUAAUAAUUUAAUUAAGCUUAGGAGGCUUGACAAAUCAGGUGCCAGCAGUCGCGGUCAUACCUGAGAGCCGGGCUAUAAAUUUUAAGCUAGCUUUAAAAAUAAGAUUUAGUAGAAAAGUAAAAUUUGUUUCUAAACAAUUAACCUUCUAACAAUUCAGCUCAAACUCAAUGAAUAAACCAGGAUUAGAUACCCUGCUAUAUAGAGCCAGAAUUUCGAGCUUUAGCACUAAAACUUUACAGUUAAAACUAAAAUGACAUGGCGGCAGCUUCAAAUUUCAGGGGAACUUACCAGGUAAAUGAUAACCCGCAAGAAACCCAUCUUUUCCUUAUAGCUUGUAUAUCGUCGUCUUCAGGACCUGUCUCAGACAGGCCCGAAACGCUUAAACAGCAAAAAGACAGAUCAAGAUGCAACCAAUGGAAAAGUCUAUGAGGUGAGUUACAAUGAUUUAAAUCUUGGAAUUAGUUUGAAAUCCGCUAUGGAAACCGGACUUGAAAGUAAAUUUUAUAAGAAAUAUAAAUUGAAUUACAAAAAAGCUGUGCACAAAUCGCCCGUCACUCUCGUUGAAAAAUGAGAUAAGUCGUAACAUAGUAAGUGUACUGGAAAGUGCACUUUCGUCUAA